rnacentral:sRNA from 1 species
AUGCACCACGCGUACAUUCCGGUUCCUGCGCGCCGUCCGCACCCACCUGACGCCUGCCGCUCCGUUUUGUCAGCC